ACUCCCUCAGUCCCUCUAUCUUCUUACACUAUAAUUUAGCCCCUAAAUAAAAAUCCUAAUAUUGAGUAAAAUGUCAUUGGAAAAAUUAUAGAAAAAUAUUGAAAAAAUUUUAGACAAUAUCAAAGAGAUUAUUAAAAAGGAAACAUUCAGCAUCAUUUACAUUGUGGAUGGUUCAAAUAAAUAACUUUCAUUCCAUGACUAAUUUGUCUCAAAAAUAGCAUAUAAAAUUUUGAACUCUUACAAUUUUUUUUUUG
rnacentral:misc_RNA from 1 species